rnacentral:sRNA from 1 species
GAGGAGCGUGGGGAAAGGGGCUGUGGGCCUCUCGGGGAGCGAGCUGCGGGUAGCGGCGCACUGGGUACAGGCGCGCGCUUUGCUGUCGCCUCUGCCGCUGUGUUUGGGAGGACUCGAACUGGCGCCAGAGCUGAUAGGUGGCCUGCCGAGGAGGACGUGUACUCAUGGUGGCGUCGUGCUCUAGCGCCCCGGAAUAAUCCUGAAAAUGGGAACGCUGCCUCCAAGAGACCGCGCAGCCUGGAGAAGUCGCCAGGGACAGGGUCAGGACUUGAUCCUCGCGGGUCGACAUGGUCUCAUUCCUCUAGCGUUGGGGUGAUGACCUACUGCCCGCCUGCUGCCUGUUACUGUAAGGCCUGCUAAGAAUUUUUUUUUUUUUUUACUUUUUUUAAUGACUGAAAAGAAAUAAAAAGAAAUAUAAUACUUUGUGACACGUGAAAAUUACAUGAAAUUACGA